rnacentral:lncRNA from 1 species
GCCCGCGCCCUGCUCGGUGUCCCCAGAGCUUGUCCUUCCCUGGCCUGAUUCCUGCACCCGGAACCACGGAAAGGGAGGGGGAUCCUCGACGCGAGGGGAAGGCCGAGGGCCCGGCUGAGCAGGUCAGGGCCGCCGAGAAAUCCUCUCCUCCUAGAAGCUUUUCAGAGUGUCCCGGAGCAGACCCUGGUAGACCAGGACGCUCCACAAAAUGGUCCAGGAGCAGCCUGUGAGCUUGCCGAGGGCUGAGGUCAGCUCGUUUCAUCUCUGUGCUGGGCCCUGGGGACACAAGGCUCCUGAUCAGCGAAUGGUUUUUGUACGGGGAGCUGUUGAGAAGCUUCAAGAACUAAUGGACAGACUAGAGAAGCGGGUUUGGAAAACAGGAAGCAAAACUUUUCUCCAUGACAACCAUCUCCAUAUUUCGAGAUGUCACAUUCUACCAUAAAGAUACAAAGCAAGACUGGGGCUAUUGAGGAAUUCAUGACUCAAGUGUGCAAAUCCUUUCUUGAAUCCAAAGGAAAAUAUCUUGCCGCUUUCAUAUGCUGCUUUGUAAAUGCC